UGUUUUGUAGCCCAACAGGUUGAGGCAUUGGACUCAUGAUCCGAGACAUGCAGGUUCGACUCCUGUCAAAACGA
rnacentral:tRNA from 1 species